rnacentral:tRNA from 1 species
GCCGGAAUAGCUCAGCGGUAGAGCAGCGUUUUGUAACGCGCAGGUCGUCGGUUCGAGCCCGACUUCUGGCCCCA